GUGACUGGGGGAUCUGAUGGUGGCAAUUUAGUAAGACCGUAAAAGCGAGGAUUUGAUCUGUUCUCAAAUUUUGAACUUCGUCGUCUUCGUCUCGGCUUCCGUCUGAAAGUCUACGGAAAUGUUUCAAUAUGGGUGAUUUCGAGAUGUCGACGGCCUUGAAGAAGGCCUGUGCGUAUGAGGCCGCAAUACGGCAAGAGAAGCGGUGGCGUUGGUCACGGUUUUUGAGAAGAAAGUCUCAGAUUGGAGAACCAGACGCUGUAGUGAUAAUCAAAGAUAUUGGGUAAGAGUUGCGAGAAGUUACAAGUAAAUUGGAGAAAGUGAUGAACAGGAAAUACAAACUGUGAAUGAGAAUAAAUUGGUGGGAAAUAUUACUACCAAGAUAGACAUAUCAUUACGGCCUCAGAAUUCUAUUGGUCGUAGUGAGUCCACGAUUAUCUUAAAUGGUACUCCUCUGGAACAAGCGACAUCUCAUGACUUGUGGAAUGGACAUGUCAGGCUAAUGAUUCCUCUCAUGAAAUACUUAGCAGAACUGCAGAAGAGAUGAGAAAACCUAAGCGACAUGAGCAAACGUGUGUGUUGAAUAUGAACGUGAUGCAGAAAGAUGAUACUGAUACUUGAGUGAGACUUUUCAGAAAAAGAAAAAGAGUACUCAGACAUGGGAUUAAAUAUUAUCCUUUAAACAGGCAAUGUUUAAACCUUUACUUUCUCAAGCACUCAAUUUGUAGAAAGCACAAGGACUUGCUGAAUAAUUCAGAUGGUAAUUCUUCUUGAAAUUGGAGCAUUUAAAAAGGAAGAUGGGGACGGUAGAGACUUAGAACUGAAGCUUCAUGGUUGAAAUAUCUUAAGACAGUCGGCAACCACCAUGCUUAGCACGUCAGGCAAUAGUCAUUUUAUAGUCAACAGGAGCGAGUUAAAGAAAAAGAAGCUUAGCGUUUAUGGAUACCAUUUCCUUGCUGUCCCAAAUUCCAACACUCUCAAUUUGGAAAGUUGAAGUACUACAAAAUGUUGAAAUUCUCUAUUGCACGAUGUGUCUGGACUCUUGAGGGGGCUUAAACACAAUGGAGAGAUUACAAGCAAGUUGUCCAUUCAUGGCCUUACAACCAAGUGGAGACAAAGAUUAUAUGGAGGAACACCGAUAAAGCAAUUACUUGGAGUUUAUGGCUUGAAAGAAUUAUCGAAUUUCCUUGAGAGGGAUGGACUCUAGUUGGCAAAAUUUGAAUGCCCCUCCUAGACUUCCAUUUCCCUUCCAGUUUUUCUUGCGAUUUACGCUUAUUUGGAUGCCUUUCUGCUUACUCCUUCUAGGGGGAUAGAUUGAUUCCUCUUCUUCUUCUUUUUUUUAAUCUAAACUUAUCUUUAUAUUUUUCAUCUCAGCCUCUUUGUAGACUUUUCUUCAACGUCUCUCAGCUUUUCCCCCCUUUGAGUUCCUCUUUAUAAAAUUGAAAAUAUAAACUGCCUACCAUAGCUUUUAAGCUGUCAAAAGUGUAGUUUUAUUGUGUUAAAAAAAAUUAGUUAAGCUUUUGGGAAUUUUUAUGUAGUUCCAAAUUCGUCACCUUUAUGUAAGGAGGAAGAAAAGAGUGCAAGAUCACAGGUUCGUCUCAAAAAAAGAAUAUGAAAGAAGAAGCUUAAGUAGAUAAUAAUUUUUUAGUCCAGUGGUCGAACUUUUCAGCCUAAAGUGAGCAUCUUAUCCUGUCUGGUAGCGAAGUUAGUGGCAGGCCACAAGGCCUUCAAAGUAUCGUCCGUAGAGCAUGCCUCUGCAUUGCCUUUUUCUUUCUUUCUUUCU